UAAAAUUGAAACCUCAAUUCAAAACCCUCGGUCUCUCUCCACUUUCGUUUUAAAACCUAACUUUUCAGAACUUAACUUGUUCAAUUUCACAUCUUCGAUAUGUCUAAAAAUUUCUCUUUCUUCCCUAGCCCCAUUCUUCGAAUUAAAGAACAAUUGAUGAUUUAAUGCAAAGUGGGUUUUCAAUUUCUUGUAGUUAGGGUUGAUACUUUUGAACUGAAUGUUGGUCUAAUAGGGUGCUAUUUGAAGUGGGUUUUGUAAAUAGAGGUAAAAGUUUGUUCUUGUGAAGGGGCUGUUUGUGUUGUGCCAAAAUUUGGAUUACUGAAAAAAAGAUGUAGAAUAUCCAUCUGAGGAAGAAGAAACAAAACAUUGAGAAAGUUUUACGGAGAAGGUACCGGAGAAUUCGCCUUUCUCUACUAACAAUGGAGAUUGGAUUUCUAAUGAUGUUGUUUGAAAGGAAUUAGACGAUGAGCUGGAGAAUUUUAGUAUUUUUGGCAGAUAACUUGGAUAACAUGAAUACGUUGAUAAUGAGAAUUUACACAAACACUUUUUGCUGGUGUGAUCACUAAGGUGCCUACUUUUGGUGGUACUUAUGCAGUUCCUUAUGAGUAUUUGUUGGUGUAAUCUUAUACAGUUGAAGUAGAAAUUGCUACUGCAAGGAAGGAGGUGGGAGAGUUCUAGUGGGUGAGUUCAAUACAUUUUCUAUCUUGUUUGAUUUUGGUAUUCGGGGUGUGGCAUCUGAUGAUUUAUGAUUAUCAGCUAAAUGCAAAGAAUUUUUCUUGGCAUGGUUCGCAGAGACAAAUCUUGUGUCUGCAAAGAAAUUGUUAUAAACGGCAGAGAUGUAAGCUACCUUGAGAGACAUACAAGAUGGACUAUUACUGCUAAAUUUGUUAUGAAUGUGAAUAAAAGGCAGAACUUCGAACGACAAACGAUUCUAAAGAUACAACCUCGAGCCUAUUAUAUGAUAUGCCGCAUUGUGAAGUUAAUACAGAUUUUUGUCCUAGUGAAGCAUCAGAGGAAGUGUACUCAACUCAUUCAGUGGAGAAUAUACAAUGUGAACCGUAACAGGAUGACGAUGAUGCCCUUGUUAAUUUGGUCCUAGAACUGAUGUUCCUAAGAAUCCCAACGAAACCCUUAAGUUACGAUAUUGAUUAUGCCAGAACGCAGUUAAAGGAAAAAUGACAAUCAGCGAUACUGAUCUUGGAAAUGUUUAUACUUCUACUGACAAUGAGUUUGAAGAAGGCUUUGAAGAAUCUGACAACGAGAUAGACUUAUUGGUUUUGGUUGCGAUGAUUAAUUUGAAUAAUCUAACAACAAAACAACAUUGUUUAGGGGAGAAUUUGCAUUGUUAUUGGACAGAUUUACGUUUGCAUAGUAAAUUUUUGUUUGAUUGUUGUUAUUCUCCGUUCGGAGAGUUUCUUUAGGAAACUCAUACAU